rnacentral:rRNA from 1 species
CCUACGGGAGGCAGCAGUGAGGAAUAUUGGUCAAUGGGCGCAAGCCUGAACCAGCCAAGCCGCGUGAGGGAUGAAGGCUCUAUGUGUCGCAAACUUCUUUUGCCGGGGAAUAAAAUGCCGUACGUGUCCUGCUCUGCGUGUACCCUGUGAAUAAGGAUCGGCUAACUCCGUGCCAGCAGCCGCGGUAAUCCGGAGGGUCCGAGCGUUAUCCGGAUUUAUUGGGUUUAAAGGGUGCGCAGGCGGGCCUUUAAGCCCGGUGUGAAAUCUGAGGGCUCAACCGUGGAAGUGCGGUGGAAACUGGGGGCCUGGAGGGCGGCAGAGGUAGGCGGAAUGCGUGGUGUAGCGGUGAAAUGCAUAGAUAUCGCGAAGAACACCGAUUGCGAAGGCAGCGUGCUGGACUGUAACUGACGCUGAGGCACGAAAGCGUGGGGAUCGAACAGGAUUAGAUACCCCAGUAGUC